UACGGAGGAUCCAAGCGUUAUCCGGAUUUAUUGGGUUUAAAGGGUGCGUAGGCGGCCUAUUAAGUCAGGGGUGAAAGACGGUAGCUUAACUAUCGCAGUGCCCUUGAUACUGAUGGGCUUGAAUGUACUUGAGGUAGGCGGAAUGUGACAAGUAGCGGUGAAAUGCAUAGAUAUGUCACAGAACACCAAUUGCGAAGGCAGCUUACUAAAGUAUGAUUGACGCUGAGGCACGAAAGCGUGGGGAGCGAACAGG
rnacentral:rRNA from 1 species